rnacentral:rRNA from 1 species
UACGUACGAGGCGAGCGUUAUCCGGAAUUACUGGGCGUAAAGCGCGCGCAGGCGGAUAUUUAAGUCGGUCGUGAAAUCUCCCGGCCCAACUGGGAGGGGUCGUCCGAAACUGGAUGUCUUGAGGGCAGCCAGAGGUAGGUGGAAUUCCUGGUGUAGUGGUGAAAUGCGUAGAGAUCAGGAGGAACACCGGUGGCGAAGGCGGCCUACUGGGCUGUCACUGACGCUGAGGCGCGAAAGCUCGGGGAGCGAACGGG